rnacentral:rRNA from 1 species
UACGUAGGGUGCGAGCGUUAAUCGGAAUUACUGGGCGUAAAGCGUGCGCAGGCGGUCUGUUAAGACCGAUGUGAAAUCCCCGGGCUUAACCUGGGAACUGCAUUUGUGACUGCAUAGCUAGAGUCUGUCAGAGGGGGGUGGAAUUCCACGUGUAGCAGUGAAAUGCGUAGAGAUGUGGAGGAACACCGAUGGCGAAGGCAGCCCCCUGGGAUAAGACUGACGCUCAUGUACGAAAGCGUGGGGAGCAAACAGG